rnacentral:misc_RNA from 1 species
UAUGAAUCUAAUUGGAAGUUUCUACAAAGUUCUGUCCAAGUUAUUGGCUAAAAGACUCAAAUCUGCCAUGUGCAAGCUGGUAUCCCCUUCUCAAAUAGCUUUUGUAAGUGGUAGACAGAUUGUAUAUGCCUCACUCAUUGCAACUGAAUGAAUAGACUCCAGAUUGAAGCAGAAAAAGGUUGGUAUUUUAUUCAAACUAGAUAUCAAGCUGAAGACAUGAGCGAAGACG